rnacentral:rRNA from 1 species
UACGGGGGGGGCAAGCGUUGUUCGGAAUUACUGGGCGUAAAGGGCUCGUAGGCGGCUAACUAAGUCAGACGUGAAAUCCCCAGGCUCAACCUGGGAACUGCGUCUGAUACUGGAUGGCUUGAAUCCGGGAGAGGGAUGCAGAAUUCCAGGUGUAGCGGUGAAAUGCGUAGAUAUCUGGAGGAAUACCGGUGGCGAAGGCGGCAUCCUGGACCGGCAUUGACGCUGAGGAGCGAAAGCCAGGGGAGCAAACGGG